rnacentral:lncRNA from 1 species
CAGACGCCAGAUGCAGUAUAUUGUGACGGAGGAUGCAGUGCCCAUGAAGGAGGAUGCAGUGUCCCUGCAGUGGUUGCAAUUGACCCGGCAUUGUCCUGAAAUGUUGGUGCAGUGCCUAUGCAGUGGAUGCAGUGAUUCUUCAGUGAUUGAGUGCACCUGCAGUGACACUUCAGCUGGAUGCAGUGUAGCUGCCGUGGUUGCAGAGCCCCCAGCCACGUCCAUGAAUUUGGAUGCUGUGCUCAUGCAGGUUCUGCAGUGUGACUCAAGGUGGAUGCAGUAUGUUGUGAAGCAGGAUUCAGAGCUCAUGAAGGACGAUGCAGUGAUCCUGCAGUCAUUGCAGUGCACGUGCAGUUCCACUUCAUAUGUAUGCAGUGUCCCUCCAGUGUUUGCAGUGCACCCUGCUGUGUCCCUGAAUGUGGAUGCUGUGAACAUGCAGUUGAUGCAGUGUUCCUGCAGUGAUUGCACUCCACCUUCAUUUCCUCAUAGGCUGCAAGCAGUGUUUAUGCAGUGGUUGCAGUGCCGCCUUCAGUAUCCCUGAAGGUGAAUGCAGUGCCCAUGCAGUGGAGGCAGUGUCCCUAAAUGUUUAUGCAGUAUGUUGUGACGGAGGAUGCAGUGCACAUGAAGGCAGAGACAGUGUUCCUGCAGUGGUUUCAGGGACCCCAGCAUUGUGCUGGAAUGAGGAUGCAGGGGUCAUGCAGUGGAUGCAGUGUAUCACAAUGCGGAUACACUAUGUUUUGACAGAGGAUGCAUUGCCCAUGAAGCUGGAUGCGGUGAACCUGCAGUGGUUGCAGUGCCCCCUACAUUUUCCCUGAAUGUAGAUGCAGUGCCCAUGCAGUGCAUGCAGUGUCCCACAAGGUGGAUGUGGUAUGUUGUGACAGAGGAUGCAGUGCCAACGAAGGUGCAUGCAGUGAGCCUUCAUUGAUUGCAGUGCACCUGCGUUUCCACAUCAGCUGGACAGUGUUGCUGCAGUGGUUCCAGUGCCGCCUUCUGUGUCCCUGAAUGUGAAUGCAGUGCUCAAGCAGUGAAUGCAGUGUACCUAAAGGUUUAUGCAGUUUUGUGACGGGGGAUACAGUGCCCAUGAAGGUGGAUGUGGUGAACCUGUGUUGUUGCUGUGCCCCCUAGAGUUUCCCUGAAUGUGGAUGCAGUGCCCAUGCAGUGCAUGCUGUGUCCCACAAGGUGGAGGCAGUCUGUUGGGACGGAGCAUGCAGUACCCCUGAAGGUGGAUUCCGGGAGCCUGCAGUGAUUGCAGUGCACUUGCAGUGCCACUUCAGCUGGCUGCAGUGUCCCUGCAGUGGUUGCAGUGCCCCCUGCAUUGUCCUGGAAUGUGGAUGCAGUGCUCAUGAAGGGGAUGCAGUGUCCCACAAGGUGGAUGCAGUAUGUUUUGAUGGAGGAUGCAGGGCCCAUGAAGGUGGAUGCAGUGUCCCUGCAGUGCUUGCAUUGACCCCUUCAUUGUCUGCAAAAGUGGAUGCAGUAGUCAUGCAGUGGAUGCAGUGUCCCACAAGGUGCAUGCAGUAUGUUGUGAUGGAGGAUGCAGUGCCCAUGAAGGUGGAUGCAGUGAUCCCACCGCGGUUGCAGUGCACCCUGCUGUGUCCCUGAAUGUGCAUGCUCUGAACAUGCAGUGGAUGCAGAGAUUCUGCAGUGAUUUCAGUGCGCCUGCAUUUCCACAUCAGCUGGAAUCAGUGUCCAUUCAGGGGUUGCAGUGCCGCCUUCAGUGUCCCUGAAUGUGAAUGCAGUGCCCAUGCAGUGAAUGCAGUGUACCUAAAGGUUUAUUCAGUAUGUAGUGACGGAGGAUGCAGUGCCCAUGAAGGUGGAUGCGGUGAACCUGCAGUGGUUGCAGUGCCCCCUACUGUUUCCCUGAAUGUGGAUGCAGUGUCCAUGCAAUGUGUGCCGUGUCCCACAAGGUGGAUGCAGUCUGUUGUGACUGAGGAUGCAGUGCCCACGAAGGUGGAUGCCGUGAGCCUGCAGUGAAUGCAGUGCACCUGCAGUGCCACUUCAACUGGAUGCUGUGUUGCUGCAGUGGUUGCGGAUACAAUUGAGGUGUCCAUGAACGUGGAUACAGUGCCCAGGAAGUGGAUGAAGUGUCCCACAAUGUGCAUGAAGUAUGUUGUGACGCAGCAUGCAGUGCCCAUG